rnacentral:rRNA from 1 species
CCUACGGGAGGCAGCAGUGGGGAAUCUUGCGCAAUGGGCGAAAGCCUGACGCAGCAACGCCGCGUGCGGGAAGAAGGCCCUAGGGUUGUAAACCGCUUUCAGUAGGAACGAAAAUGACGGUACCUGCAGAAGAAGGUGCGGCCAACUACGUGCCAGCAGCCGCGGUGACACGUAGGCACCAAGCGUUGUCCGGAUUUAUUGGGCGUAAAGAGCUCGUAGGCGGUUGAGUAAGUCGGGUGUGAAAACUCUGGGCUUAACCCAGAGCCGCCACUCGAUACUGCUGUGACUUGAGUUCGGUAGGGGAGCAGGGAAUUCCUAGUGUAGCGGUGAAAUGCGCAGAUAUUAGGAGGAACACCGGUGGCGAAGGCGCUGCUCUGGGCCGAUACUGACGCUGAGGAGCGAAAGCGUGGGUAGCAAACAGGAUUAGAUACCCUGGUAGUCCACGCCGUAAACGUUGGGCACUAGGUGUGGGUUCCAACCAACGGAAUCCGCGCCGUCGCUAACGCAUUAAGUGCCCGCCUGGGGAGUACGGCGGCAACGCUAAAACUCAAAGGAAUUGACGG